AUGGAUGCCCGCGGCCCCGCCGUCCUGCACCUCCACACGUUGCCCGCACACGCCACCAAUCGCUGCUCCGCCUCCAUCGAGCUCCAUUCCCUGCUGUCACUGGAUCGCCAAGAGGCAGCCCCGUGUUGCUGGUUCGCGCAUUUUCCUUGUCGGUUGUCAACAGCAAGACCAACGGCUUCAUCGUCGUUUGCCUACUCGCCCGAACCUCGAAGAUCCCGUGGGACGCCAAAUACCACUAUCCAUCUCCGAGGAUUUCUCCCAAGUACCGCACCGGGCGCCAAGUUCCUCUCCAACACGAUGAUACGAGUACAACUAUCGUCGACGUCGACGUGCAUUUCCCCAAGUACCUCUUGGACCCGACAAGUACCCCGAUGA
rnacentral:rRNA from 1 species